rnacentral:rRNA from 1 species
AUGAUUUCAUUCUUGUGCUGUACGAGCAGCGCCGCGAAAGCGGCAGGGUCUGGUGGGAGUGGAUGAUGCGGUUUUAGCGAAUGUUCUUUAAAAACUAACAGCCGAUAAGUGUGGUGUGGGCGCUUUGUGUUUCGCUGAAAAGCGUGGUGGCGAUUCUUCGAAAGUGCUGCCGUGAAGCGAAAGUAUCAAGUCUCACACUAAUUAAGGUAGGUUUUGAGCGUCUUUUCAGAGAUGGAAAGAUUGGUAGGGACAGGGACUUGUCAGUACGUUGAGGUGGGCGACCUAUUCGCAAGAAUAAUAGAAAACAGUAACAGGCAUUGAACUGAAGAGUUCAAUCCUGGCUCAGUUUGAACACUGGCGGCAUGUCUUACAUUUUGUCCGGAAAGAAAACUUCCUGGUUAAUACCUGGGGAGGAUGACGGUACCGGAAGAAUAAGCACCGGUUAAUUACGUGCCAGCAGCCGCGGUAAUACGUAGGGUGUGAGCGUUAAUCGGAAUUACUGGGCGUAAAGCUUGCGCAGGCCGUUCGUUAAGACAGAUGUGAAAUCCCCGGGCUUAACUUGGGGACUGCGUUUGUGACUGGCGAGCUAGAGUAUGAGGGGAGGUAGAGUUCCACGUGUAGCAGUGAAAUAGGAAUACCGAUGGCGAAGGCAACUCCUUGGGCUAAUACUGACGUUCAUGCACGAAAGCGUGGAGAGCAAACAGGAUUAGAUACCCUGGUAGUCCACGCCCUAAACGGCGUCAACUAGUUGUUGGGGGUUCAUUUCCUUACUCAGUAACGUAGCUAACGCGUGAAGUUGACCGCCUGAGGAGUACGGUCACAAGAUUAUUAAAACUCAAAGGAAUUGACGGGGAUCCGCACAAGCGGUGGAUGAUGUGGAUUAAUUCGGUGCAACGCGAAAAAUCUUACCUACUUUUGACAUGGUCAGAACCCUGCUGAAAGGUGGGGGUGUUCGAAAGAGAACCGAUAUACAGGUGUUGCAUGGCUGUCGUCAGUUUGUGUCGUGAGAUGUUGGGUUAAGUCCUGCAACGAGCACAACCCUUGUCCUUAGUUGCUACGCAAGAGCACUCUAGGGAGACUGCUGGUGAAAAACCGGAAGGUUGGGGAUGACGUCAAGUCCUCAUGGUCCUUAUGGGUAAGGCUUCACACGUCAUACAAUGGUCGGAAGCCAGAAGGCCGCCAACCCGUGAGGGGGGGAUAAUCCCAGAAAACCGAUCGUAGUCUGCAACUAGACUACGUGAAGCUGGAAUCGAUAGUAAUUGCGGAUUAGCAAGCCGCGGUGAAUACGUUCCCGGGUACUGUAUACACCGCUCGUCACACCAUGGGAGUGUGGGAGUGGAUUUUCCAGAAGUGGCUAGUCUAACCGCAAGGAGGACGGUCAUCACGGUAGGAUUUAUGACUGAGGUGAAGUCGUAACAAGGUAGCGGUAUCGGAAGGUGCGGGUGGAUCACUUUUUUUCUCGAGCUCAACGUUUCAAGGUGAAGUGCUAAAGCGCUCGCGCUUAUCGGCUGUGAGAAGACAGGCUAAGGGUCUGUAGCUCAGAUGGUUAGAGCACCGUCUUGAUAAGGCGGGGGUCGU